AGAGUUUGAUCAUGGCUCAAAACGUACGCUGGCGGCACGCCUAACACAUGCAAGUCGAACGAAGUAGCAAUACUUAGUGGCGAACGGGUGAGUAUAAUGUGGGUAUCUGCCUUUUGGUUUGGAAUAACACGGGGAAACUUGUGCUAAUACCGGAUAAGCCUUCACAGGGAAAGUUUUAACGCCAAAAGAUGAGCCCGCACUUGAUUAGCUAGUUGGUAAGGUAAUGGCUUACCAAGGCUACGAUCAAUAGCUGAUCUGAGAGGAUGAUCAGCCACAUUGGGACUGAGACACGGCCCAAACUCCUACGGGAGGCAGCAGUGGGGAAUCUUGCACAAUGGGGGAAACCCUGAUGCAGCGAUGCCGCGUGAGUGAAGAAGGCCUUUGGGUUGUAAAGCUCUUUCGUCGGGGAAGAAAAUGACUGUACCCGAAUAAGAAGGUCCGGCUAACUUCGUGCCAGCAGCCGCGGUAAUACGAAGGGACCUAGCGUAGUUCGGAAUUACUGGGCUUAAAGAGCUCGUAGGUGGUUAGAAAAGUUGGUGGUGAAAUCCCAAGGCUUAACCUUGGAACUGCCAUCAAAACUUUUUAACUAGAGUAUGAUAGAGGAAAGUGGAAUUUCUAGUGUAGAGGUGAAAUUCGUAGAUAUUAGAAAGAACACCAAUUGCGAAGGCAACUUUCUGGAUCAUUACUGACACUGAGGAGCGAAAGCAUGGGUAGCGAAGAGGAUUAGAUACCCUCGUAGUCCAUGCUGUAACGAUGUGUGCUAGACGUUGGAAAUUUAAUUUUCAGUGUCGCAGCAAAAGCGUUAAGCACACCGCCUGGGGAGUACGACCGCAAGGUUAAAACUCAAAUGAAUUGACGGGGACCCGCACAAGUAGUGGAGCAU
rnacentral:rRNA from 1 species